rnacentral:tRNA from 1 species
GCGGGAGUAGCUCAGUGGUAGAGCAUCAGCUUCCCAAGCUGAAGGUCGCGGGUUCGAUCCCCGUCUCCCGCU